UACGUAGGGUGCGAGCGUUGUCCGGAAUUAUUGGGCGUAAAGAGCUUGUAGGCGGUUUGUCGCGUCUGCCGUGAAAGCCCAGGGCUUAACCCUGGGUCUGCGGUGGGUACGGGCAGACUAGAGUGUGGUAGGGGAGACUGGAAUUCCUGGUGUAGCGGUGAAAUGCGCAGAUAUCAGGAGGAACACCGGUGGCGAAGGCGGGUCUCUGGGGCAGUAACUGACGCUGAGGAGCGAAAGCGUGGGGAGCGAACAGG
rnacentral:rRNA from 1 species